rnacentral:rRNA from 1 species
UACGUAGGGACCGAGCGUUGUCCGGAAUCAUUGGGCGUAAAGAGCGUGUAGGCGGCCGAUCAAGUUCCGCGUGAAAUCUCACGGCUCAACCGUGAGCAGCCGUGGAAGACUGGUCGGCUAGAGUGCGGGAGAGGAGAGUGGAAUUCCUGGUGUAGCGGUGAAAUGCGCAGAUAUCAGGAAGAACACCCGUGGCGAAGGCGGCUCUCUGGAACGCAACUGACGCUGAGACGCGAAAGCGUGGGGAGCAAACAGG